rnacentral:tRNA from 1 species
GCCUAAGUGGCGCAGUAGGCAGCGCGUCAGUCUCAUAAUCAAAUGAUAGAGCGAUCUGAAGGUCGUGAGUUCGAGCCUCACCUUGGGCA